rnacentral:rRNA from 1 species
GACGAACGCUGGCGGCGUGCCUAAUACAUGCAAGUAGAACGUUGAAGGAGGAGCUUACUUCUCUGGAUGAGUUGCGAACGGGUGAGUAACGCGUAGGUAACCUGCCUGGUAGCGGGGGAUAACUAUUGGAAACGAUAGCUAAUACCGCAUAAGAGUAGAUGUUGCAUGACAUUUACUUAAAAGGUGCAAUUGCACCACUACCAGAUGGACCUGCGUUGUAUUAGCUAGUUGGUGGGGUAACGGCUUACCAAGGCGACGAUACAUAGCCGACCUGAGAGGGUGAUCGGCCACACUGGGACUGAGACACGGCCCAGACUCCUACGGGAGGCAGCAGUAGGGAAUCUUCGGCAAGGGACGGAAGUCUGACCGAGCAACGCCGCGUGAGUGAAGAAGGUUUUCGGAUCGUAAAGCUCUGUUGUAGGAGAAGAACGAGUGUGAGAGUGGAAAGUUCACACUGUGACGGUAUCUUACCAGAAAGGGACGGCUAACUACGUGCCAGCCGCCGCCGUAA